rnacentral:ncRNA from 2 species
CAUUUUCUUCGAGGGAGGGACUUCGGGUCCCGACCGGCGGUGAUAGUCCGCAAUCCCGAAAGCCUUGGGGUGAAACGGUGAGAUUCCGUUACCGACAGUGAAAGUCUGGAUGGGAGAAGAAAUAU